rnacentral:rRNA from 1 species
GCUAUUUAGGUUAGAGUUUGAUCAUGGCUCAGGAUGAACGCUAGCGGCAGGCUUAACACAUGCAAGUCGAGGGGUAGUAGUAGCAAUACUAUGAGACCGGCAAACGGGUGCGGAACACGUACACAAUCUACCUUUAUCUGGGGCAUAGCCCGAAGAAAUUCGGAUUAAUUCCCCAUAAUAUAUAUGAGUGGCAUCACUUGAAUAUUAAAACUCCGGUGGAUAGAGAUGAGUGUGCGUCCCAUUAGCUAGUUGGUAGGGUAACGGCCUACCAGGGCGACGAUGGGUAGCUGGUGUGAGAGCACGACCAGCCACACGGGCACUGAGACACGGGCCCGACUCCUACGGGAGGCAGCAGUGAGGAAUAUUGGUCAAUGGACGCAAGUCUGAACCAGCCAUGCCGCGUGAAGGAUGAAGGCCUUCUGGGUUGUAAACUUCUUUUAUGUGGGAAGAAAACUACGGUUUCUACUGUAGCCGACGGUACCAUAGGAAUAAGCACCGGCUAACUCCGUGCCAGCAGCCGCGGUAAU